AUUGAACGCUGGCGGCAGGCCUAACACAUGCAAGUCGAACGGUAACAGGAAGAAGCUUGCUUCUUUGCUGACGAGUGGCGGACGGGUGAGGAAUGUCUGGGAAACUGCCUGGUGGAGGGGGAUAACUACUGGAAACGGUAGCUAAUACCGCAUAACGUCGCAAGACCAAAGAGGGGGACCUUCGGGCCUCUUGCCAUCGGAUGUGCCCAGAUGGGAUUAGCUAGUAGGUGGGGUAACGGCUCACCUAGGCGACGAUCCCUAGCUGGUCUGAGAGGAUGACCAGCCACACUGGAACUGAGACACGGUCCAGACUCCUACGGGAGGCAGCAGUGGGGAAUAUUGCACAAUGGGCGCAAGCCUGAUGCAGCCAUGCCGCGUGUAUGAAGAAGGCCUUCGGGUUGUAAAGUACUUUCAGCGGGGAGGAAGGGAGUAAAGUUAAUACCUUUGCUCAUUGACGUUACCCGCAGAAGAAGCACCGGCUAACUCCGUG
rnacentral:rRNA from 1 species